rnacentral:rRNA from 1 species
AAACCAACAGGGAUUGCUCUAGUAACGGCGAGUGAACAAGCAAAAGCUCAGUUUUGAAAGCCUCUUCGGAGGCAUUGUAUUCUGAAGCCUAGAUUCUGGGAAACGGUACUUAAGUCUUCUGGAAAGGAGCGCCACGGAGGGUGAUAGCCCCGUACGGUACUGACCCCAUUGUAGUUUCUAGGCGUGGAGUCGAGUUGUUUGGGAAUGCAGCUCAAAUGGGAGGUAUGCUCCUUCUAAAGCUAAAUAUUUGCGAGAGACCGAUAGCGAACAAGUACUGUGAAGGAAAGAUGAAAAGAACUUUGAAAAGAGAGUGAAAUAGGACGUGAAAUUGUUGAAAUGGAAGGGUAGGCCGCUAACCAUGUAGGACCGUGUUUGAGGGGAAGAUAAAAGCUUCGGAAUGUGGCUCCUCGGAGUGUUAUAGCCGAAGUCAAUGUUCCCACUCGAGCGCGAGGAUCUCAGGUUCUACUAAAUGGUGGUCUACCAC